UACGUAGGGUGCGAGCGUUAAUCGGAAUUACUGGGCGUAAAGCGUGCGCAGGCGGUUCGUUGUGUCGGUGGUGAAAGCCCCGGGCUUAACCUGGGAAUGGCCGUCGAAACUGGCGAACUGGAGUGUGGCAGAGGGGGGUGGAAUUCCGCGUGUAGCAGUGAAAUGCGUAGAGAUGUGGAGGAACACCGAUGGCGAAGGCAACCCCCUGGGACGAUACUGACGCUGAGGCACGAAAGCGUGGGGAGCAAACAGG
rnacentral:rRNA from 1 species